UCUCCCAUCUCAGGCACGCCAGGCCUCCCCUCUCCUAGGCCCGCCUUGCACGCCUCAGUUCCCUCUCUGCUUCCACACACACGUCUCUCCCAGACACCGUCACAUGUAAUAAUCACUUUUUUCAAAUACAGCACAGGUCAUUUCUUUACUUUUGGGAAAUAAUACCACAGCACUUUCAGAGUUACAGUCAGGCCUUUAUUUCAUUCUCCGGGCUCCUUGUCCUCCCAUGUUCUUCAGCUCAUUCCUGGCGCAGACAGCAUUUCUUUAUCCCAAACCAACAGGUGCCAAGACGGUCAUGAUUUUCUGGGCAGUAAAACCAUUUACACUCGGCCUCUCUUUUAUUGCACUCCUUCUCUGAGUCUACAACCUGGACCUGGGCUGUGGAGAGGAAAAUCUUUGAGUCACACAGUCAGGAGCAACAUUCCCUGUGAAUUCGGGGUCAUGACAUGUGCACCGCAGAGCCGGCAGGAGAGGCUCCUUCUGCAGGCGCCUCACUCAGAAACCCUACGGAGCCCCCGCUCCUUCUGUUCUGCUGCCACUGCUGCGUUGGUUCCUGGCAAGCAGGACAGCCUCUGCUCUAAAGAGGGCAGGUACUGAAGUGUCUGCCCUGAAUGCUGACUCAAGGCUCCCCUGCCUGCCCCCCAGCGUCCAGCCCCUGCUCAAGAUGCUCAAGGGGACUCUGUGCAGCCUCAUGCAGCCUGAUGAAGACCAACCCACAAUGCACACCCCUACAUGCCCUGGGCACAAAAGGGCAGGAGAGAUUGGGCCAGAGGAACUGGGCAGAAAGAGCAGACAGGGGUCAAGGGCCUUCCGUCCUGCCAUGUUUUGUGCAGCAACCAGGCCUCAGGAGGGGCUGGCAUGUGGGCCUGUCACCGUGGGCUGUCAGACAGAGGCCACAAAAAGUAAAAAGGCAGGAAUCACAGAGGGGGAACACACCUGGCAUGUCUCUGCUGCUCUGCGAGGCCCUGCCUAAGUUCUCCCUUGUUUGCCCUCAACCAGACUCUGUAUGAUUCUGGGGUUUGUCUUCCUUUUCAGGAGAAGACAAAGUUGAGUCUGAGGACAGCUCGGUGACUUGUCUAAGUACACACUGCGAGUCACCAUUGGAGCUGAGAAACACACAAUGGUAUUUUGGCUCCUGGGUUCAGCUCUCUCUUAUAUCCUGGGCUCUCUCCCUGGCACGGAAGUUGGACAGCAAAUGAGCCCUGGGGCCGGCACCUCCUACGUGGUCAUUAUCCCCUUGGCCUGUUCCAAAGCCAGCCACACCUGCCAGCCUGAAAGCCUGGCCUGGCCUAGUGGUGUUGUCUCUAGCUACUCACUGGGUCCAUGUCAGGGAAAUGACUCCAUCCUUAACCUGAGAGAUACUGAGGACCAUGUUUCAGUCCAUUAAGAUCAAGCUAAGAAUCUCCCCUGAGACAUUCAUUCUUUGGUUGAUGCUCUCCAUGAUGCUCAGAUUUAUUACUUAUUUCCAGAUCCUGAGCCACUCCCCAAUACGGUCUGGUCCCCAUUCCCUGGGCAUGAGACCCCGAAACCCCACACCAGCCUGGUUUCAGAGCUCACCUGUGGCAAAGUGAGGAAAAAGGAUGAAGCAGGUCAGGAGCACGAAGCAGAGACACCGCAUGGUGAAUGCCGGCUGGACCCUGAGCAGCAGGAGAAGAUGAGGAGCUGCUCCGAGACUGGGACCCAGCGAGGCUGCUGCAGGUGGAAGGAGCCUCUAUUUACAAGGCUCCUAGGUGCUUGCACAACAUUUGAUUCUGGAACCUCACCUGCUGUGAUCCUGAUUACAACACAACUAUUGACUUUUGUGCAUGAGACGCUGUCCGUUACACAACCCCUCUCCCUCAGGCACACCGCUCAGGUGGGAAUGGCCUCACUUCCCGCUCCUGUGUGGGAUGCUU
rnacentral:lncRNA from 1 species